UUACGAUGGAUGAGUUGACCUUGAAUGAACGUCUCUACGAUUUGCGGAAACCCUUUAAACUCGCAUUUUGCGCGCUGAAAGAGCAGAAAGAGGCCUGGGAAGAUUGUAUGGAAAAAGCCCGACCUCAUCUGGUAGCAAUCGUCACACUGCGGGAAAUACAGGCAAACUGUUGGGCGGCGAAACUUACGGGCACCGAUCUCUUGGCAAAAUACCCAGAUGUCCGAGUACGGAUCGUCCGUAGAGUGGAAAGCGAGCUGUUCCAGGAGAAGGAAAAGUUGGAAUCAAUACUAAAAACCUUGAAGAAGUCUCAGAACGUUUGUAGCAGUGCUUGCCAGCAAGCAGUUGAAGCUUACGACCAUCUUGCGAAAAGUCGAAGUAUUGAAGAUGUUUGUUACAGAAGUGAAACGUGUCCGUCGGUGGCUGAUAUGCUGGAAUGGAUGACAUGUACAGAACAGCACUUUAGUAGCCAUGUUCAUGCAAGAGAACUCUUGCUAGAAGAAGCAAAUUUUGGGGAUGACUUCAAGGCUGGUGCCUUUGUAAAAGAGUGGAAAGAUGACUCAGCUUUGAUUGAAUCAAUGAAUGAUGUCUUGGCAACAGUGAAGUUUGUAAUGGACAUGGUGUAGAUGUGCUAUACAAAUUGGCCUUCGGCAUUGUGCAGCAUCUCGGGUAUCAAGGAAGUGCAGCGUUUUAACCAGCAUGCCCGCCAUAUUUGCUGCUGCAGAAUACCGGGGCUGGGGUCUAACCCGUCUCUUCUGGCUGUGGACCACCUCCAGGCAAAUUUUGAGGGUGUCACGGUACUUGCUCAGCAUAACGGAGUGCCACGGAACGAGGCUUUAGCACCCCAAGAAUGAGCACCAGCCCAUUUGGACGUGCGCCCCGGAUGCGAAUGCCGGUUGCCGAGGGAAAACUGGAGAGUGCAUAGAGCCGACCAAGAUUCCGGCCGCGACAUCACCUGACCGCCAUUUUAGUAUGUGGAUGAUCUACGCGAAAACGGCCAAAGCGGCGAUGUCCAAUUGACUCUAGAGCACAAAAUGCACAGCCACUUCAUAUUCCCAUAGUCACAGUCAUUUUUAUUGAUCAGAAAAACUAUUGAGAAGUAGGUAAAAUAUGAUAGCACACUGAACAAUCACAUACUUUGGUGGCUUGGCCACUAUUGCGUUGCGCUGCGAAGCACUAGGCCGCUAGAGUAAAAUCCUGGUUGUGGUGACAGCAUUUAGCCCCAGGUGCCCAAACUUAACCCGGAGUCAUUGGCGUACCAACUAGUUCGCGAGCGGAGAGGGGGGGGGCAAGCCUCCCUCACAUCAUUGGCCACAUUGAUAUACAAACAUACAUAAAUG